CAAUUAGAAAGUGUUUACCGGACGGCGGGGCUCCGGAGUGUAAACAGACAGCUAUUCCAGCAAUGCGCUAAUCCCGCGUCUUGUGACAACAAUUAGGGCUUUAGGCGAAGGCCCGCCGGCCCGGGUGGAAAACCCGCUGUCUGCAGCAAUAGAAGCGGAUCCGAGGAGAAGCUGUCGGACGGGAAAGCAGACAGAGCGCGAGUCGGAUCAAAAUUGCGAUUUGUAAUUGUUAUAAUAAACCAAGCGCAGUGAUAAAAGAAAA